rnacentral:rRNA from 1 species
AGUGAACGCUGGCGGUAGGCCUAACACAUGCAAGUCGAACGGCAGCACAGUAAGAGCUUGCUCUUACGGGUGGCGAGUGGCGGACGGGUGAGGAAUACAUCGGAAUCUACUUUUUCGUGGGGGAUAACGUAGGGAAACUUACGCUAAUACCGCAUACGACCUACGGGUGAAAUCAGGGGAUCUUCGGACCUUGCGCGAUUGAAUGAGCCGAUGUCGGAUUAGCUAGUUGGCGGGGUAAAGGCCCACCAAGGCGACGAUCCGUAGCUGGUCUGAGAGGAUGAUCAGCCACACUGGAACUGAGACACGGUCCAGACUCCUACGGGAGGCAGCAGUGGGGAAUAUUGGGCAAUGGGCGCAAGCCUGAUCCAGCCAUACCGCGUGAGUGAAGAAGGCCUUCGGGUUGUAAAGCCCUUUUGUUGGGAAAGAAAAGCAGCAGGUUAAUACCCCGCUGUUCUGACGGUACCCAAAGAAUAAGCACCGGCUAACUUCGUG